GCGACCCAUCCUUUGUUUCUG
rnacentral:miRNA from 6 species